rnacentral:rRNA from 1 species
GAUGAACGCUGGCGGCGUGCCUAAUACAUGCAAGUCGAGCGAACGGACGAGAAGCUUGCUUCUCUGAUGUUAGCGGCGGACGGGUGAGUAACACGUGGAUAACCUACCUAUAAGACUGGGAUAACUUCGGGAAACCGUAGCUAAUACCGGAUAAUAUUUUGAACCGCAUGGUUCAAAAGUGAAAGACGGUCUUGCUGUCACUUAUAGAUGGAUCCGCGCUGCAUUAGCUAGUUGGUAAGGUAACGGCUUGCCAAGGCAACGAUGCAUAGCCGACCUGAGAGGGUGAUCGGCCACACUGGAACUGAGACACGGUCCAGACUCCUACGGGAGGCAGCAGUAGGGAAUCUUCCGCAAUGGGCGAAAGCCUGACGGAGCAACGCCGCGUGAGUGAUGAAGGUCUUCGGAUCGUAAAACUCUGUUAUUAGGGAAGAACAUAUGUGUAAGUAACUGUGCACAUCCUGACGGUACCUAAUCAGAAAGCCACGGCUAACUACGU